UUUCCGUUCGGCCCAAAAUGUUACGGAUGUGUCUUUUUUUGUAGUGGUUGGUGUAGAAUCCAUGGUGAUGUCCAUGGGGUACUCUGCAUAAGGAGUUGAUCCCGCCGUUGUCCGUGCUGGAUCCAACCGCGCAUAGGGAAGCAAUUGGGCGGUGUUCGUGGCUGCGGUGCUCAACCCGAUCGGUGCCGCGCGCCUCUGAGUUGAGGUUGCCGCACUCGGUCCGCUGCUGGUGCGUGCUGUCGAUGAUGCAGUUUGCUCGAUCCUCUCCUAUCUGCUAUCGCCGCUGGGUCGAGGUCGCUGCGCAGAGGGAAGCAUAACUCGAUCCAGUGAGAGAGAGAUAUUGGUGAGGGAGAGAGAGAUUAGCGAAGGAGAGAUGGGGGUUGGAGGGGAUCUGUGAGGCAGAGAGAUGCCGUACUGCUGAACUUUUCAAGUAUCAUUUUUAAAACAUGUAUUAUGAAAGAAAAUUUUCAUGUGCCCAAAACUCUCUCUCUUCUGCCCUAAAACUAUUUUGGGCACCAAUUUGAACUUGAAGAUGCUGUAAUCUCUACUCCUAAUGGAAAAUGGAAACAAAUUAAACUGGAAAAUGGAAACAAAUUAAACUGGAUGCUCAUCAUGUAUUUCAUGAAGAAAUUUGCAUGCCUGAGGCAUGUCUCCGUAUAAAAGGUCGAUCUCUGCACAACAGUAGUUUGUUCAGGUUAUGGUGUCUGAUUUUUUAAUCUCAUUUUGCCAUGCUCUAGAUUACGUGGUUAAUACUAUCACUAUGCUGGGAAGAUUACAGAGGGAAGGGACAAUAUGUAAGAUGGAGUAAGGUGGCUGGUGUAGAUCUUGCUUCUCAUGACGACUUCAUAUCUGAUGCAACACUUAAGAGCUACUACAAAGCUUUUUUUAGGAAGCUACUACCAAACUUUUUUUUCGGAAGCUACUACAAAGCUUUUGUUCAGGUAAAUUUCUAGAUUAAAUGGCCAUCAGAAAUGGAUUCCUGUUAUCCGUCAUGCUUGGUGACCAAUGGAUAUCAUUAUAUGCAUAGCUAUAUGAAAUGCUACCAGCAAACAGUUACUGCUAAUUUUAGUUUAGCAACUCUGAAUUCUGUAGUCGUGUUUUCCUGUCAUACAAGAUUUUCAAUAUUGUGCAUAUGUUUCCUUUUCUUAGCCUGUUUUUUCAAGAGUAAACACAAUCACAAAUGAGGCCUACAAAGAUGAUCCUACCAUUCUUAACUGGGCGAUGAUCGUCGAGUUGUGCUGCCCUUCAAAUCCAUCAGGCGAUACGCUCUAGGUCCUUAUUGCAGUCUUAUUUUCAGGAACUUCUAUGUCUCAUUUAUGUUUGUCCACUGCACAUUUUGACAAUAUUGUUUUUUUUGUAGGCAUGGAUAGAAAAGAUGGCAUCUUAAAUUAAGUAUAUAGAUAUUGUGCACCUUGUCGAGAUUGGUGUUGAAGUAUAUAUUAUGGGCCGUCUACUCUAAACUUUUGCUCGUCAACCAAGAUGAAAUCGGUCACACACAUAAUAUACAGUUGUAUAACUAUAUAACUAGAGUGUACCUGAUAACUAUAUAACUUGAGUUAUAGAAGAGGAAAUUUUGUUAUAUAUGUUUAACAGUUGCUUUUCAACAAGAGAAUAUUUGUGGCCCCGUUGCAACAUAUGGGCAAUUAACUAUGCUUUGAUUCUCUGCACGGUCGGCCUCGCCCCUGCUCGCCAGGGAUGCCUCAUUCUGUCGUACUCAUGCUCGUCACCGGUUGUCUCUCUAUCUUUGGCCGACCUCCACUGUCGGCUCCGCCUCUGCCUCGAUCCCACACGCCAUGGCUACCCGGAUGGCUAGCCAGCGGACACAGGCGACUGCCACGCUAGUGGGAUAAGAGUACCAUAUCCCGAACAAUGGGGUGGUCCAACUUUUGAUACCGGCGAAGCUUUUGCAAUGAUGGCUGCAUCAUUUGUUGCUCUGGUGGAGGUUUAAUUAAACCGAGGUAAAAAAAAUGCCAGAUUCUUUUGUCAGAUAAAAACAUGACUGUGUAUUUUGCUUGUCAGGACCAAGAUCUCUAGCUAUUAAUGAAAUUUCCAUAGUAGUUUUUGUUGCCUUUGUGUAACCCUGAUAACAGCUUCUUGGAAGGUUCAGAUGUGUGGCAAAGGAUUUCAAUUUUCCUGUUUACACAAAGGCAACCCGUGGAAGGUUCAGAUUUCUCAUGCUAGGUUCUGUGCUCUCAGGGUUACAUAAACAAAAAUGCCUCCUACUUAGUACUUACAAAAAGGCAACCUGAGAAAGGUUCAGAUUUCUCAUGAUUGCUUCUUCGGUAUUUCAUGCCUUUGUCAUCUUAUUAGGAAAAUGUAGUUUGUUUUAUAGCUGAUGCUGCUCGAUGCUUUUCAUUGAUGAGUGAAUGCUUAACUUUAGCUCAUAACUACAUGUCACAAGCUACUUCCGAUGGGUCUUGUGUAAAUAAGUUUCAUCUUCAGACAUGCCUUGAGUUGAUUAUUUAAUCCUUUUAUAAGAAUCUAUUUAGCUUUGUAUUGUUGCAAUUUCAUUAUAUAUGCACUUACCAAUGCAUCUAAAGGUUCAACAAUGUAGAAACCACCAUUAGUCUUGAGGCUACAAAUUGCUUCCUCAUUCCUCUGUGUUGCACUGUAGGUGUUAAGGGGCCGAGGUCGCGUGUUCGUUGAGGCAUCAAUACACCUCACUUUCCCUUUCCUUUCCCCUAUUUCUGUUCUUGCAUUUAUUUGUUCUUCUCGGACCUCUCUGUCCGCUGCUUUAAUAUGGUUCUGAUUGGUGCCUUACGUCUCCCAAGAUAUAUGGAUUUUGGUUGAGGCGGUCAUCACAUAAAUAAAAUGCUAACAUUCUCUCAAUUUCUGAAUGGAUUUGUUAAAUUGCCGUUCUUUUGUUGGAUCUCACCUGAUUUGUUUGAUGUCCUUGAAGCAAACACCAUGACAAGAGCUUGAAGAUUUCAAAGAUACACAGGGUUAGCAGAAAGAGGAUACACUGAUUUCAUCUGCUGCACUUAAGAGCCGAGUCUCUCCCUAACAGGUUCCAAAGUUUGGCAGCAGCUAGCUUGAUUUGGAGACAUUUCCUGUUAGGUGUUAAACUUUGGUUUCGAGGCAUUAAGCUUUGGCUGGAACUAGCUUUGUUAUUUUGUACUAGCAAAAAGGUCCGUGCAUUGCAAAGGGAGAAAAAUCGUCUCAUAUCGCUAGCUGGGUCAGUUGGACAAACUGUGCAUGGCCGGUUGGCAGGUUAUGAGAUCGAACUUUCCCAUUGGCAAUUUUAUUUUUUGCCAGCUCUCCGAACAUGGGCCACAAUGCGCAGCCAGGUGGGCUUCCUCCGCUGGGUCAAAACGGGUGGCAAGUAACGAAACCAAAUAGAGUACAUGAAAUUAAUUGAAGCGGGACCAAACGAAGGGGACGAAACCAAAAAUAUCACCUCCCUUUAAUAGUAGGUAUGAUAUAAUACUUAUGUCAGCAUUAAGGUGAAACAACUUUUUUUUAUAAAGGGUGGUUUUAUUGACUCAAAAUAUAGCAUCGAGGGAUACAAUUAUAAUGAGUUACACCCGGCCUCUGUAUAACUAGGAUGCACACAACCAACCCAAACACACACACACGCAAAGAAACACGCUAGCAAAGACCUAAGUCAUACAAGACCGAAGCUAUGCCUAGCAAAGAAAAAGAAAAAUCCUGAAGCGAUGAAAAGAACGAUUGACAAUGUAUAGCGACAACCGACAACUGUCGGCGCCAACUAUCUCAUGACAACGCAAGGACUCCGAGAGAUUAAAUCCACCCAAUCAGAUUCAUCCUGCGAUAUCUCCUCCACUUGCCACACACAGACUGACGGCAGAUGAAGAUGCCCACAUGAAAACAACUAUCUACCACAUUGUUUAAUCUGGGUUUACCCCGGUGCCAAGUAUACUAUAUUGCUAUAUUUUACUUUAAUCUAUGUGUUGCUUUGUAUGUAUCUCGACAUGAAUGGUUCAUUAGGAUUUAAUGUAGUAAUCUUACUUCUAUUGCUUAUUGGUGAAUAUGAAUUAUAUUGCAUUUUCAUGGAAGCAGGAGCCAUGUAGUUGUGUAGCGGGUCGCGGGAGAGGUAGUCGACAAGUGCAGGCUGGGAGGGAAGGUGAUGUCUGUGAUGGCGACCAUGCCGGCAGGCAAGGCAAGGUCCGAUGGUAGUCGUCAUGGUGUUUUCAAGGGAGAGCAAGGAAUUCUUUUUUUUUUAGAAAAAGGUGAAGAGCAAGGCAUUCGCCAUCGUACAUCAGAAGAAGUCGGAGCCUGGGCCGAAAUUGGCCACCGUGGCUGGCGUGGAAGCUGGCUGACCUAAAGGCCAGCGAUGGUUCAGCCGCCAUUCUCUGAACUUGGUGGAGAUGCGGGAUGAGAGCGAUGGUGCCGUGUAGACCUCAAUCAAUAUGUCCGUAUUUGAUCAGUGCGUCCAUAUUUUUAUUCUUUUAUGGCAAUGCAUGGGUAUUUGACUUUUGCCUGUAGCAACGCACGAGCGUUCUACUAGUAGUAAUACUCCCUCCGUCCUUUAA